rnacentral:rRNA from 1 species
UACGUAGGGGGCAAGCGUUGUCCGGAAUCAUUGGGCGUAAAGAGCGCGUAGGCGGUCCGGUAAGUCGGUUGUGAAAACUGGGGGCUCAACCCUCAGAGGCCGACCGAUACUGCUGGGCUAGAGUCCGGAAGAGGCGAGUGGAAUUCCUGGUGUAGCGGUGAAAUGCGCAGAUAUCCGGAGGAACACCGGUGGCGAAGGCGGCUUCCUGGACCGACACUGACGCUGAGGCGCGAAAGCUAGGGGAGCAAACGGG